rnacentral:misc_RNA from 1 species
GAUGAAGAACGCAGCGAAAUGCGAUAAGUAAUGUGAAUUGCAGAAUUCAGUGAAUCAUCGAGUCUUUGAACGCAAGUUGCGCCCGAAGCCAUUAGGCCGAGGGCACGCCUGCCUGGGCGUCACACGUCGUUGCCCCCCCAUCUACUCCUUCGGGAUUGCGGGGGGCGGAUGAUGGCCUCCCGUGCGCCUCGUCGCGCGGUUGGCCUAAAUGCCAAGUCCUCGGCGACGCACGCCACGACAAUCGGUGGUUGCGAAACCUCGGUUGCCCGUCGUGUGCGGUCGUCGCGCAUCGAGGGCUCGAAAAAAUUGCCGGGCUUCGGCUCGACUUUCAACGCGACCCCAGGUCAGGCGGGGUUACCCGCUGAAUUUAAGCAUAUCAAUAAGCGGAGGA